GACAGAGGAGGCGAGCGUUAUCAGGAGUCAUUGGGCGUAAAGGGUACGUAGGCGGCUAGUCAAGUCUGAGGUUAAAGACCACAGCUUAACUGUGGGAAGGCCUUGGAAACUGACUGGCUAGAGUGGGGCAGGGGUUGCGGGAAUUCCCGGUGUAGCGGUGAACUGCGUAGAUAUCGGGAAGUACACCUGAGGCGAAAGCGCGCAACUGGGCCCUAACUGGCGCUGAGGUACGAAAGCUAGGGGAGCACACCGG
rnacentral:rRNA from 1 species